CUUCACAACCCUGAAAAUUAUAAUGGCAAUUCUCAUGUUGAUGUUUCUGUUUCUCUCCCUUUUUCACAUGUGCAGGACAACUUUACUGCAGCAAUCGCAUACUAUCACAAGGCUCUAUGGCUGAAACCCGAUGAUCAGUUCUGCACUGACAUGUUAAUUAAAGCUCUUGAAGAAGAAUGCCGCCGUGGUGUAGACCCCAGAAUUGAAUUUCAACAAAGUGAGGUUUUUCUUUGAUGCUAAUAUUAUUCUUUCUACUUUUGGUGGAAUGAAUGUGUAAUUAAUACCAUAAUGCCCGAAAUAGGUUUUAUUAUUAUUAUUAUUACUAUUACUAUUGCAAUUUUCAAUGUGAUAUAUUUGUAUCAAAGAUUAGGCAGCGUGUAUUCCGACCGUCAUCUUGGUUUAUUUAUCAAUCGAGGCCCGUAACAUAUCAUUGUUGAAGAAA